rnacentral:rRNA from 1 species
AGAGUUUGAUCCUGGCUCAGAACGAACGCUGGCGGCGUGCCUAACACAUGCAAGUCGAGCGAGAAAGCCCGCAAGGGUGAGUAAAGCGGCGCACGGGUGAGUAACACGUGGGUAAUCUGCCCUAGAGUCCGGAAUAACUCGCCGAAAGGCGUGCUAAUGCCGGAUGAGACCACGGGAGCCUCGGCUCCCGCGGGAAAAGGUGGCCUCUGUACACAAGCUAUCGCUCUAGGAUGAGCCCGCGGCCCAUCAGCUCGUUGGCGGGGUAAUGGCCCACCAAGGCUACGACGGGUAGCUGGUCUGAGAGGACGAUCAGCCACACUGGAACUGAGACACGGUCCAGACUCCUACGGGAGGCAGCAGUGGGGAAUCUUGCGCAAUGGGCGAAAGCCUGACGCAGCAACGCCGCGUGUGUGAUGAAGGUCUUCGGAUCGUAAAGCACUGUCGCGAGGGACGAAUAAGGGGCGGGCUAACAUCCCGUUCCGAUGACGGUACCUCGAGAGGAAGCACCGGCUAACUCUGUGCCAGCAGCCGCGGUAAUAC